CGGCGGACGGGUGAGUAACACGUGGGCAACCUGCCCUGUAGUUGGGGAUAACUCCGGGAAACCGGGGCUAAUACCGAAUGAUACAAUUUAACUCCUGUUAGAUUGUUGGAAGAUGGCAUCUCGCUAUCGCUACAGGAUGGGCCCGCGGCGCAUUAGCUAGUUGGUAGGGUAACGGCCUACCAAGGCGACGAUGCGUAGCCGACCUGAGAGGGUGAUCGGCCACACUGGGACUGAGACACGGCCCAGACUCCUACGGGAGGCAGCAGUAGGGAAUCUUCCACAAUGGGCGAAAGCCUGAUGGAGCAACGCCGCGUGAGUGAAGAAGGUUUUCGGAUCGUAAAACUCUGUUGUAAGGGGAGAACAAGUACAGUAGUAACUGGCUGUACCUUGACGGUACCUUAUUAGAAAGCCACGGCUAACUACGUGCCAGCAGCCGCGGUAAUACGUAGGUGGCAAGCGUUGUCCGGAAUUAUUGGGCGUAAAGCGCGCGCAGGCGGUCCUUUAAGUCUGAUGUGAAAGCCCUCGGCUCAACCGAGGA
rnacentral:rRNA from 1 species